CCUUAACCCACUGAACAAGGCCAGGGAUGAAACCCACAUCCUCAUGGAUCCCUGUCAGGUCUGGAACCUACAGCCUGGACUUCAAUUUUUGAUAUUACAACUUUGAAUAGACUCCUCCAGAAGAGCCGUCUACAGUGACUCAAGAGUUCUUGACAUGAUGAAAACAUGACAAAUGGAAGAUUUUUCCCCCAUCAUUUGUUUUAAAGAAGAAUGACAGAAUCCAAGUCCCAGGAAUCGUGUUCACAUCAUAAGCUUGCAGACUCUCUUUCAUCAUGAUUGUAGAUGCCGUUAGACUCAGGUUGGUGAAUACCCUGCCUGUGUGAAUGCUACCAUUCCCCAACCCCACACCCAAGGCAAGUGUCAUUCAUCCAUCUUUCCUGUUUAACCUGUAUUUAACUUGAAAUUCAAUGCCACAUAACAGACACCCACUGGCAAAGCAAUCUCAGCAGAAAACCUUUUUGCCAGUCUUCACUAGACAUUAAUAUAAUCCCCAUCCUUUAUUUUAAGUACUAUCCUAGUAUACAGCACUAGUAUUAUACUGUGUAUAUAUAUCACUUCUUCCUGAUCCUUUCAUCUGUUGAUGGACACUUAGGUUGCUUCCCUAUCAUGGAUUUGUAAAUCAUGCUAGUAUGAACAUUGGGGUGCAUAUCUUUAAAAUUAGUGUCUUCACUUUCU